rnacentral:rRNA from 1 species
AUUGAACGCUGGCGGCAGGCCUAACACAUGCAAGUCGAGCGGCGCGGCGGACGGGUGAGUCAUACCUAGGAAUCUGCCUGGUCGUGGGGGAUAACGUUCGGAAACGGACGCUAAUACCGCAUACUAUCAGAUGAGCCUAGGUCGGAUUAGCUAGUUGGUGAGGUAAUGGCUCACCAAGGCUACGAUCCGUCACUGGUCUGAGAGGAGGAGGAGCCACACGGGAACUGAGAAACGGACCAGACUCCUAAGGGAGGCAGCAGGGGUGAAUAUUGGACAAUGGGCGAAAGCCUGAUCCAGCCAUGCCGCGUGGGUGAAGAAGGUCUUCGGAUUGUAAAGCACUUUAAGUUGGGAGGCGUUACCGACAGAAUAAGCACAGGCUAACUCGGUGCCAGCGGCCGCGGUAAUAC